rnacentral:rRNA from 1 species
GUCUAUGGUCACACCACCCAGAACAUGCCUGAUCUCAUCAGAUCUCAGAAGCUAAGCAGGGUCAGGCCUGGUUAGCACUUGGAUGGGAGAAGUUAUAUUUGUGAAGAAAAUUUAAAGAUA